AAAAAAUACCAAAGUCAUGAGGAAGAAAAAUAGGGAGAUUAAAAUUCAAAUAAUAUCCCGUGAACAUCUAGUCUCCCACUAAGGGGCCGGAGACUUUGGCGCAUUUUCUAACUUCUCUGUGCUUCAGUUUCCAUUUCUGGAGAAUGGGGGUUACAGUUGGACCGCCUCAUGGAAUAGGACCGUGUACAUCAGAGACUGCUAGUUUCCUACCUAAUAUCCUUUAAGCCAUUCUCUUAACUAAGCCCCCAUCUCAGUGGGGAUAGCCAAUGAGAUGCCAGCAAAAUGCACUGGAUGCUCGAAAGUUCCUUUGCUCUUCUCCCUGUUUUCCUAAAGGAAACAAAGGACAAUGACUGGAACUCCAGCAGGCUUUUUCUGUGCACCUGAGGUGACCUUGAGGGUGGGCACUAGGCACUGCGGUUGAGUAUUUAAGAACAGAGCAGCCUGGGGCAUUGGAGUCAUCACAGCACCACCACAAAAGCCCCGGGCUGCAUACAUAGUACAGGCCAUUCUUGCGAUAAAAUAAACCUCUUCUUAUCUAAAACGUUGCUCUUUCAGGUUUCUACGACCAGCAGCUAACAGCGAGUUUUAACUGAUACGCUUCCCCUCACCACAAAAACUAAGCUCUGGUUCUCUCUGCCACCCCAGGUCUCCUGUCCGGCAGCAAGCUACUUGGGCUCAGGGCCAUCUUCCAUGGUGGUCAAGCAGAACUUGAAACCAGAGACUCAAACUCCCAAGUCAAAGAUCUCUCCCUUCUUCCUCUUUGCCCCUCCCAGACCUGGCUUUGCCCAAGAGCCAUCUCUUAUUUGAAAACAUAAGACCUGACGUCAGUUUUCUCUCCUGUGUGUGCACGUAGAUGCUACUAACUGGUACCAGAAAGGAGCAGGGUUAUGCAAGAGAGAAUAAAGAAUUCAGUUUGAAGAUAGCUGAGUUUAAGGUGAUCUGAAGAUAGCUGAAGUGUCUUAGUCCAUUCAGGCUGCUAUGAUAAAAUACCACCAGCUGGGUGGCUUAUAGACAACAGAAAUCUAUUUCUCACAGCUCUGGAGGCUGGGAAGUUCAAAAUCAAGAGGUUGACAGAUUCAGUGUCUGGUGAGAACUCACUUCCAGGUUCAGGGUCCUUGUCUUUUCACUGUAACCUCACGUGGCAGAAGGGAGGGAUCUCUCCAGGGCCAGAACCUUUUAGAAAGCUACUAAUCCCAUUCAUGAGGGCUCCACCCUGAUGACCUAAUCAUCUCCCAAAAGCCUCACCUCCUAACAGCAUCACCUUAGGGGUUAGGAUUUCAACAUUUGAAUUUUAAGGAGGCAUAAACAUUCAAUCCAUUGCAUGAAGAUUUUCAGAACGGAGUUGGAUAUAAAUCUGAAGCUCAGGAGCAAGGUGUUAGCUGGAGAUCAGGGUCCCACCAUGACUCUAUGAGGCAACAUGACCCUCAUUUUCUCCCUAACGGUCUCCUGAGCACGGUGGGCCCUGUUUGCCACCUUCCUGGAGCCUGUUGUGUGGACCAGAAAACCACUUCCCAAGUGAAGGAUUCAGUCAUCACAGUUGCUGGAGUGGAAAAGCAUUUUCUGAGUGUGCUUCUGCGGUGUCUAAAUGUGAUCCACUGCUGUCCACAUGACUAUGUUGAGAAUGUCUGAGGAUGCUGUCCUGUGUGAGAAGAGCUUCUUGCAGGAGCAGCGGAGAGUUUUGAAAUGUGUCCAAGACCAUCCCUUCAGGCCUCGGAGGAGUCUACCCUCCUAUGCAUGCAAGAAGCACAGGAAUGAGUCUGAUUGCAUCUGCCCUGUCAUACCAUCAGCGUGUUGACCAAAUAAACAAGCUGCCCAGAAUUCCAGCAGAAACUGGAGCUGUGCAUCCAACAUUUGCUUGAGCAAAGAGACUUCUUGGGAAGACGCCUAGAAUUGUUGGUGCCGUGAUAUUUGCCUUUUUGUUGAAAGCAGAUGUUCACCACAGCAGCCAUCCCAGCGAACUGCCACGCCAGCUUGCCUGACACCAUUUUACAGCGCAGUCUCUGUGGUUUCACUCUCUUGGCAUAUCUGUCCUGAUUCUAUAACCAACAACGUUCCCCAUCUAUUCAUUAUUAUUUCCUUUGUCUCUUCCCAGGAAAUGCAUUUUUGUUUUCCAAGUAGGAUGUAUUUUUUCCCACCUGCCUUUUCUUAGUCACAUAAACUAUGUAAUUGAUUGUGAUGAUUACUGUAAGCCUAAUAUAUGUUCCUAAAGCCAUUUCUAUUUUCCUGGCCUUUCUACCAUAAUUUCAAAGAGUUAUAUAAAACUGUAA